rnacentral:rRNA from 1 species
UGGGGAAUUUUGGACAAUGAGCGAAAGCCUGAUCCAGCAAUGCCGCGUGUGUGAAGAAGGCCUUCGGGUUGUAAAGCACUUUUGUCCGGAAAGAAAUCCUUGGCUCUAAUACAGUCGGGGGAUGACGGUACCGGAAGAAUAAGCACCGGCUAACUACGUGCCAGCAGCCGCGGUAAUACGUAGGGUGCAAGCGUUAAUCGGAAUUACUGGGCGUAAAGCGUGCGCAGGCGGUUUGCUAAGACCGAUGUGAAAUCCCCGGGCUCAACCUGGGAACUGCAUUGGUGACUGGCAGGCUAGAGUAUGGCAGAGGGGGGUAGAAUUCCACGUGUAGCAGUGAAAUGCGUAGAGAUGUGGAGGAAUACCGAUGGCGAAGGCAGCCCCCUGGGCCAAAUACUGACGCUCAUGCACGAAAAGCGUGGGGGAGCAAAACAGGAUUAGAUACCCUGGUAGUCCACGCCCUAAAACGAUGUCAACUAGUUGUUGGGGAUUCAUUUCCUUAGUAACGUAGCUAACGCGUGAAGUUGACCGCCUGGGGAGUACGGUCGCAAGAUUAAAACUCAAAGGAAUUGACGGGGUCAUAGCUG